UCAAAAUUGUGCGUGAAAAUUGAAGCCGCCCAAAUCCAAAAAUCCCUUUCCUUUGAAAGCUCCCACAUCCCAAAUCUCUAUUCACUCAAUGAUACAAAGGGCAAGAGCUACACCAAAUUUAGAGGGGGGAACCUUUCAUUCUCGCGGCGCUACAAGGCUCUUGACCACAACAUAGGGGUUGGGUGGAGGAGAUGUAGAGAUUUAAUGGACCUUGCAGAAAUGAAAUAUAAAACACUACUUUUUGUUCACAACUUCACAGAUAACAGAUAGAGGUAGAGGUGGUGGCUGCAAAGCACCCCGUGAUAGAGGUCAAGGUGGUUUUGGGAGAGCUCGAACCACCAAUAACACUCGUACUACUCCCCCUCACAUUUCUAUUUCAGAGUCAAUAGUACCCACCCAAAAAAACCCACUUCCUACGGUUCAAGAAGAACCAAUUCUCACCUUUGUAGGGGAAUCAAUUCAUAAUACACCUACUUCAAGGGACACACCUUCAACACAAGAUGCUUCAUUCACGCCAAAAUACCCACCUCCUCCUCACCUUGUCAAGUCCAGGGAUUCAUCUGACUAGAGGAUUUGGUUGUCUUUGAAAGGCAAAAAAUUUGUUCCUGCAAAGGGCCCUACUGAUGUCAUCUCAGGGAUCUUCAAGCAAAAAUUUGAGGGAGCAUGGCACACUUGGAAGGUUGUAGAUGAAUCAGUUUGAAAUAAGUGGUUUGAAGAGUUUUAGAAAGAGUAUAAGUGAGAUCCACAACAUGAGCGGGCUAUAAGAAUGGAUUUUUGAGCACAAGGGGUCAACGAUCUUUUGAAAAAUGCUAUGCAUAAGGUCAGCAGAUAAGGAGAGUUGGAUCCCUGACAAUUUUAGGGAAAUUUUAGACCAACAUUAGGCUUCUGAAAAGUUCUAAAAUAAAAGCAACACCGCCAAGGAAAAUCGAGCUGUUGAGAAUGGAGCAACAACCUACACUAGUGGCUCCAUGGAGCUCACUUUGAGAAGUUGACUAAGGAGCUUUGUCGACCCCCUACUGCAUGAGACUUGGUAGAAAAGACAAAGAAGUUGAAGACUAGAGAAUGGGUCAAUGAAAAAGUUCGUGACAUUGUUGUUGUUAAGAAGGAUGUGAAGGAAAACUUGUAUGGGCUUGCUGGAUUGGCCGAUGACUUCAUCCACUCCACACGUCCCCAUUCUUCUAUGUCCCGAGCAUCACUAAUCACUGCAGGAGUGAUAGAGGAAAUGCAAAAUAGGAUAGCUAAAUUAAAUGUUGAGCUUACUGCAAAGGAAGCAAAGGAAAAACAUUUGGAAGAGCAUAUACGACAACAUGAUGAGUAGAUGCAAUAUAUUCUACGACACCUCCGGAUCGAGCCUUUAAGGCCAACCUCUCCUCUACCAAGUACUACUGUAGAUGAUCUUGAACACAAUGUUGACGAUGCUCUUAAGGAUAUAAUAGAAGACCUUUGAUUAUGCUCUUUUAAUUUACUUGUUAUAGCUUUUGUGGUUGUAUUUCAGAUUUACUUUGUUGAUGUUCUAACUUUUUAUGUUAUCGUUAUGUUUUUAGUACA